UUGGGUAGUAUUACACAGAUAAAAAUAUGGACCUAGAUCUAAAUCUUUUUGGGAUUAACAGUACGCGACCGAAUCUUUUUUAGAAUUUAAAUUUGAUCCCCUCAGGGAUUACUUGAACUUAUCCUCAAAUAAUUAAUCCCUAGAGGAAUUAAAUUU